rnacentral:rRNA from 1 species
UACGUAGGGGGCAAGCGUUGUCCGGAAUUAUUGGGCGUAAAGAGCGUGUAGGCGGUCCGGUAAGUCAGCUGUGAAAGUCAAGGGCUCAACCCUUGAAUGCCGGUUGAUACUGUCGGGCUAGAGUCCGGAAGAGGCGAGUGGAAUUCCCGGUGUAGCGGUGAAAUGCGCAGAUAUCGGGAGGAACACCAAUGGCGAAGGCAGCUCGCUGGGACGGUACUGACGCUGAAGCACGAAAGCGUGGGGAGCAAACAGG